AGGGAGCUCAGAGCUGUCUUCCCAAGGUCAGUUUCUUUCAAAGAGGAGUACAUUGGUGUCUUGCCGGGGCUUUGUAAAAAUCUGCUUAUUGCGACAGUCACAGAAAAAGUCGCUUAAAACCAGCAUUUUAAAAACCCCGAAAUACCUCGAGAUAAGCUAGAAUUCGCAAGACAAAGUCCGAUUUGUGUGUGGAGUGGGUCCAAGCAUCUCGAAGGGACUUCGGGACCUGGCACGGAGUGUGAGGAGAGGCUCUCCCUGCAAAGUGUGCAAGGCUUGGAUUGGUUCAAAGAGCUGCGCCGAUGGGGACGGUGGGGAGCAUCUUGCCAUCCUGCUGGCGCCCCAAUCAUCUGCUGCCUGAAACAACCGUCUCGCCUCGCCUCAUGGAAGCCCCCCCCCCCCGUCCCUCACCAACUUUCACUGGCAAAUGAAGUCUGUGGGGGUCUCGUAUCGGCUCCCCCACAAAAAAAGAAUGAAGUGUUCUACUGUUUGAUGUCCUGUGUAUUCAGGCUUCAGUCCUUCUGUGAGGUUUUAACUGCCUUCUAAAUAUUAUUGCCCUGUGAAA